CCGUCUUGAAACACGGACCAAGGAGUCUAACAUGUGCGCGAGUCAUUGGGUCACAAUAAACYUAAAGGCGCAAUGAAAGUGAAGGCAGCCUCGGGUUUGCCUAGGUAGGAUCCUUUUUUCUCUUUUGAGAGGAGGCGCACUACCGGCCCGUUUCGUCCGCGUUGCGGUGAGGCGGAGCGAGAGCGUACACGUUGGGACCCGAAAG
rnacentral:rRNA from 1 species